AAUUAUCUCAUUUGUUUUUUCUGACAACAUAAUAAGAAAAAGAAAAACAUCCAUUCAUGAGAGUUCAGGGAUACGUGAAAAUGAAGCAAAUGAGGAAAGACCCAUUCACAUUCCUCCAAAAGAUCUGUGGCUCACUGGAAUCAUGUUACUGGCUCCUGGUAGUCCCUGACUUUACCUGUUUGUUCCAGGAACUUGCUUUAUGGCCAUUUGUUCUAAUGAUCAGUUUGGACAACCAACCUUUAUUCCUCCACCUCAGACAAUAUUCAACAUCCUGUAAUCAUCAUAGCGACAAACUGUUAAAACAACAACAGC
rnacentral:lncRNA from 1 species